AUUGAACGCUGGCGGCAUGCUUUACACAUGCAAGUCGAACGGCAGCACGGGGGCUUGCUCCUGGUGGCGAGUGGCGAACGGGUGAGUAAUGCAUCGGAACGUACCCAGUAGUGGGGGAUAGCCCGGCGAAAGCCGGAUUAAUACCGCAUAUUUCCUGAGGGAGAAAGCGGGGGGACCUUCGGGCCUCGCGCUACUGGAGCGGCUGAUGUCGGAUUAGCUAGUUGGUGAGGUAAAGGCUCACCAAGGCGACGAUCCGUAGCUGGUCUGAGAGGAUGAUCAGCCACACUGGGACUGAGACACGGCCCAGACUCCUACGGGAGGCAGCAGUGGGGAAUUUUGGACAAUGGGGGCAACCCUGAUCCAGCCAUGCCGCGUGAGUGAAGAAGGCCU
rnacentral:rRNA from 1 species